UGAGCAGAUAUACUGAAUUCGAAGAAGAGGAAAUCUCAGAGGUUUUUCCAUAUUGUCGUCGAAAAUAUAACUGCAACUUGUCCUUACACUCAAGUGGCACCCUAAAGAGAACAGGUAAUUUGCAGGAUGAAUUUGGCGAUGAAAUUCCACAAAUAUCCAUUAUAAAAGGGAGAUCGUACACCUGCAUCAAUUGGCAAGUAUGACAUCAAGUUUUUCAAAAUCAAGUUAGAGGAACUUGAGUUAUAUCGGAUCAACUACUUUGUUGUUACACAAAUUUUAAAAAGAUUAAGACAGCGGCACACAAAUACAGGUUGAUUCUCAUAAAAAUGACUUUUAUUGAGAAAAUUAUUAAUUUUUUAUUUUCUAUGGACAUAUUUAAUUUGCGUUCAUUGAACAACUGACAAUUCAACAGA